GUGAGUCACCUGGCGAUGUAGUAGGCAAGCUGAAGGCCAAGUACAAUGAUGUGUUUUCAAAGGAGCUGGGAUGUUUCAAGGAUGUCGAAAUUUCUUUUGACGUGGACCAGACUGUGUCGCCCCGGUUCAUGAAAGCACGACACCUACCCUAUGCUUACAGGCGCCGGGUGGAGGAGCAGCUUCAGGCGGAGGUGGAAGCCGGUGUCCUAGAGCCGGUGAAGUCGUCAGACUGGGCCUGCCAGAUCGUUCCAGUCUUGAAGCCGGACGAGGGAGAUGGAGAAGCUGCUGGCCGGUCUGCAGAAUGUGUUCGUCUUCCUGGACGACGUGCUCGUCUCUGGGUGCGACGAAGUGGAGCUGCUGAAGACUGUGGAGGAGGUGCUGCGGCGUUUCCAGGACGCUGGCGUCAAGAACCACCCGGCAUGCUACGACCGGUGAAACGCCUUCACGGCUCCUGCUGGGCUACCAGCCGGUGACGAGAUUUGACCGCCUGAAGCCCAGUCUGGAGCGCAACGUCAGGACGAAGCAGUUCACCCAAGUUCAGCAGCACAAGAAGCGUCACCCUACCAGCCGGCCAACGCUGUCUCCAGGAGAUAUGGUGCUCGCUCGCUACUACCGUCAGGGUAAGGCGUUUUGGCGUCCAGCCUCGAUUGUCAGGUGCUUUCACCCGAUGUUUACAGUGCGUUUCGACACUGGUGACAUCUGUAAGAGACACAUCAAUCAGCUUCGCCCACGAUCAUGUCCCGCAGCGCGCUCGCGCGAGGGCGAGAACGAUUCCGU